UUUAGGUAAAAGUAUGGCAAAUAUAGAAGUUUAAAAGCAGCUGUCACACACAUUUUCACUAAGUGCAGUUUGCAGCUUGAUUAAGGAAGUCCUAUGUGGAGAUAUUAAUAAGCUUGAAUGUAGUAUCGGAAGUUUAUAAUGCAUGGCUAGGGAACUGAGGCUAAGGGAGUUAUGUGCUGUGCAUGAUGAGAACUCAAUGCUCAUUAAUGCUGUUAAUGUUUAUAAAUAAAUUAAUUAAACCAAUAGCAUUGUUUUUUAGGUUUCACUGUGCAUUUUCAUACCAAUAGAAUUACACAUCAUUCUAAUUAUAGCAAUAAUAAAUUUGUACUAAUCAUACCUACAAAUUUUGUUAUGCUAUGCUUUGUGAUGUAUUAACUUCAUUGUAAGUUAUUAUUUAAAGACAAUUUUACUAAAUAUUUAAAACAAUACUUGAAUUAUUUUCUAUAUACAUUUUCAUUAUGUGCUUUAACUGUAGCUGACCAGUUGAUGGAAGAUACUGCAGAGUUUGGCAGGGAAAUAACCCAAGACAGCAAAGCGGCUCUUUUGGCGCAUUUACCAAGAGGACUAACAUGGCCACAAAUUCAUGAGAUCAUGCAGGAGCCGUACAGUAUAACAGCAGUACAAGUUCUAUAAAAGAUCCACGACCUACUGAAGCCCAGCUAAUUAACAAAAAAGUUUUUAAAAACUGUAAUUUUAUCCCACCUGGGUACUUAUAAUUUACUAAGCUGCCUUCACAAGUUUUAGACUUAAAAUUAUAUUUUAAACUGUCACUUGGAAAGUAAUACAUGUACAUGCAUUAUGUUCUGAAUUUCUUUGAACAAUAAAAUUAUAUAAAAGUAUUUUAAUGAAAUUGAGCACCUAAAUUGCAUUAAAGUGAAAGUAGCUGAGAAAAAUAGUAUCCUUGUGCUCAUGGGCAGCUACAUAUAUUGUGACAAACAUAAAGUAGCUAAAAUAACUUAAAUUUUUCAUUUUGUUUCUUGUAUAUCGUUUGUACAGGGUUCGUGAAUUGUUACUGUAUAUUACUUGACUUGCUUGUAUUUUGUUACUUUGAAUACAUGUUGUUAAGGUUGCAUUAUACUUUUUAACUUUUAAAGUAGCGCCUGUUCUGUUAUGUAAGGGCUUGAUUUAUGAUAAUGGACCUAGAGGCUUUGUAAGCAUGUAUUAAACAACACUUGUUUGAUCUGAAUAAUUUGUUAAAUAAAUGUAACACAAUUUGUAAUCUGAUGUUAUAUUUUGAUGAAUUGUGAACAAAAUAAUACAUCGAAGAAACUAA